CCUUAAAUGCAAGUCGAACGGCAGCACGGGGGCAACCCUGGUGGCGAGUGGCGAACGGGUGAGUAAUACAUCGGAACGUGCCCUGUCGUGGGGGAUAACUAGUCGAAAGAUUAGCUAAUACCGCAUACGACCUCGAGGGUGAAAGCGGGGGACCGGUAAAGGCCCUCCGCGCGACAAGGAGCGGCCGAUGUCUGAUUUAUCUUAGUUGGUGGGGUAAAAGCCUACCCAAGGGGCACGAUCAGUAGCUGGUCUGAGAGGACGAUCAGCCACUCUGGGACUGACACACGGCCCCAGACUCCUACGGGAGGCAGCAGUGGGGAAUUUUGGACAAUGGGGGCAACCCUGAUCCAGCAAUGCCGCGUGUGUGAAGAAGGCCUUCGGGUUGUAAAGCACUUUUGUCCGGAAAGAAAUGGCUCUGGUUAAUACCUGGGGUCGAUGACGGUACCGGAAGAAUAAGCACCGGCUAACUACGUGCCAGCAGCCGCGGUAAUACGUAGGGUGCGAGCGUUAAUCGGAAUUACUGGGCGUAAAGCGUGCGCAGGCGGUUUUGUAAGACAGGCGUGAAAUCCCCGAGCUCAACUUGGGAAUGGCGCUUGUGACUGCAAGGCUAGAGUAUGUCAGAGGGGGGUAGAAUUCCACGUGUAGCAGUGAAAUGCGUAGAGAUGUGGAGGAAUACCGAUGGCGAAGGCAGCCCCCUGGGACGUCACUGACGCUCAUGCACGAAAGCGUGGGGAGCAAACAGGAUUAGAUACCCUGGUAGUCCACGCCCUAAACGAUGUCAACUAGUUGUUGGGGAUUCAUUUCUUCAGUAACGUAGCUAACGCGUGAAGUUGACCGCCUGGGGAGUACGGUCGCAAGAUUAAAACUCAAAGGAAUUGACGGGGACCCGCACAAGCGGUGGAUGAUGUGGAUUAAUUCGAUGCAACGCGAAAAACCUUACCUACCCUUGACAUGCCACUAACGAAGCAGAGAUGCAUUAGGUGCCCGAAAGGGAAAGUGGACACAGGUGCUGCAUGGCUGUCGUCAGCUCGUGUCGUGAGAUGUUGGGUUAAGUCCCGCAACGAGCGCAACCCUUGUCUCUAGUUGCUACGAAAGGGCACUCUAGAGAGACUGCCGGUGACAAACCGGAGGAAGGUGGGGAUGACGUCAAGUCCUCAUGGCCCUUAUGGGUAGGGCUUCACACGUCAUACAAUGGUGCGUACACCCGGUUGCCAACCCGCGAGGGGGAGCUAAUCCCAGAAAACGCAUCGUAGUCCGGAUCGCAGUCUGCAACUCGACUGCGUGAAGCUGGAAUCGCUAGUAAUCGCGGAUCAGCAUGCCGCGGUGAAUAAGUUCCCGGGUCUUAUACACACCGCCCGUCACACCAUGGGAGUGGGUUUUGCCAGAAGUAGUUAGCCUAACCGCAACCAUG
rnacentral:rRNA from 1 species